rnacentral:rRNA from 1 species
UCUAAGCACAUGCCUUAAUACGGUGAAGCCGCGAAUAGCUCAUUACAACAGCCACCGUUUACUAGAAAAUCAGUAUCCUACUCGGAUAACUGUGGCAAUUCUAGAGCUAAUACGUGCGAAAAAGCUCGUUUCGCAAGAUUCGAGCGCAUUUAUUAGAAUAAAAACCAAUCGGGCCCAUAAAGCCCGUAAUUUGGUGAAUCUGAAUAACUUUGCCGAUCGCACGGUCCUAGUACCGGCGACGUAUCUUUCAAGUGUCUGCCUUAUCAACUUUCGAUGGUAGGUUAUACGCCUACCAUGGUAGUAACGGGUAACGGAGAAUAAGGGUUCGACUCCGGAGAGGGAGCCUGAGAAACGGCUACCACAUCCAAGGAAGGCAGCAGGCGCGCAAAUUACCCACUUCCAGAACGGAGAGGUAGUGACGAAAAAUAACGAGACAGUCCUCUUCGAGGUCUGUCAUCGGAAUGGGUACAAUUUAAAUCCUUUAACGAGGAUCUAUUGGAGGGCAAGUCUGGUGCCAGCAGCCGCGGUAAUUCCAGCUCCAAUAGCGUAUAUUAAAGUUGUUGCGGUUAAAACGCUCGUAGUUGGAUCUGCGGCCUCGGAGAACGGUCCCCCGAAAGGGCGGUCACUGUUACUCCAAGCCUAAAUAUCUAGUCUACUCUACGGUGCUCUUAACCGAGUGCCUAGAGUGACUGGAACGUUUACUUUGAAAAAAUUAGAGUGCUUAAAGCAGGCGAAAUAGCCUGAAUAAGGUGCAUGGAAUAAUGGAAUAGGACCUCGGUUCUAUUUUGUUGGUUUUCGGAGCCCGAGGUAAUGAUUAAGAGGAACAGACGGGGGCAUUCGUAUUCCGGCGCUAGAGGUGAAAUUCUUGGACCGCCGGAAGACGGACGACUGCGAAAGCAUUUGCCAAGAAUGUUUUCAUUAAUCAAGAACGAAAGUUAGAGGUUCGAAGGCGAUCAGAUACCGCCCUAGUUCUAACCGUAAACGAUGACAACCAGCGAUUAGUCGGUGUUAAUAUACGACCCGACUAGCAGCUUCCGGGAAACCAAAGUUUUUCGUUUCCGGGGGAAGUAUGGUUGCAAAGCUGAAACUUAAAGGAAUUGACGGAAGGGCACCACCAGGAGUGGAGCCUGCGGCUUAAUUUGACUCAACACGGGAAAACUCACCCGGCCCGGACACCGUAAGGAUUGACAGACUGAGAGCUCUUUCUUAAUUCGGUGGGUGGUGGUGCAUGGCCGUUCUUAGUUGGUGGAGCGAUUUGUCUGGUUAAUUCCGAUAACGAACGAGACUCUGGCCUAUUAAAUAGUCGGUAKAUCCGGAAAAGUUUACCGUACUUCUUAGAGGGACAAACGGCGUCUAGCCGCGUGAAAUAGAGCAAUAACAGGUCUGUGAUGCCCUUAGAUGUCCGGGGCUGCACGCGCGCUACACUGAAAGAAUCAGUAUGCGCUUUAACCUAGUCCGGAAGGAUUGGGUAACCCGAGCAAAUUCUUUCGUGCUUGGGAUAGGGAAUUGCAAUUAUUUCCCUUAAACGAGGAAUUCCCAGUAAAUGCGGGUCAUAAGCUCGCGUUGAUUACGUCCCUGCCCUUUGUACACACCGCCCGUCGCUACUACCGAUUGGAUGACUUAGUGAGGUCUUAGGACCGACGUAAAGGAGCUUUCGCGAGUUCUUUUUCGUUGGAAAUUUGAUCGAACUACGUUAUCUAGAGGAAGUAAAAGUCG